AAUCUUUUUGAAGAAUGUGAACAGUACCAUUCACUGGUAAAAAAUGUAACCAAGAGAGUUCUGCAGUGUUGUUAAUUUCUGCUGGAUAUUCACAGUAGGAAUUAUACUUGUAAAUUUUGUGUGUAUGUGAAAAGUCUUAAUUUGAAAGUUUGCUAAGCAACAAAUCCUUGAAAUAGAACGGGCUGCAACUCUGCUCUGCCUGGAAAGUACACAUGCAUUGCCUAUCUCUGACUGGAUGCAUGCCAGAUUGUCCUUUGGGAUAUAGCCCAGUGAGCAGGAGAAAUGGGUUUGAACUUGGCAAAAUGGCAAUAAGCAUAAAGGUACAGUUGGAAUCUC
rnacentral:lncRNA from 1 species